CCUACGGGUGGCAGCAGUAGGGAAUUUUCGUCAAUGGGCGCAAGCCUGAACGAGCAAUGCCGCGUGAACGAGGAAGGUCUUCGGAUCGUAAAGUUCUGUUGAAGGGGAAAAAGAGCGGAGAGAGGAAAUGCUUUCUGAUUGAUAUUACCCUUCGAGGAAGUCACGGCUAACUACGUGCCAGCAGCCGCGGUAAUACGUAGGUGGCGAGCGUUAUCCGGAAUGAUUGGGCGUAAAGGGUGCGUAGGCGGCCUGCUAAGUCUGGAGUGAAAGGUACCGGCUCAACCGGUACAGGCUCUGGAAACUGGCGGGCUAGAGAGCAGGAGAGGGCGGUGGAACUCCAUGUGUAGCGGUAAAAUGCGUAGAUAUAUGGAAGAACAUCAGUGGCGAAGGCGACUAUCUGGCACAUAACUGACGCUGAGGAGCGAAAGCGUGGGUAGCAAACAGGAUUAGAUACCCUUGUAGUC
rnacentral:rRNA from 1 species